GGGAAGGUGGUUCAGUGGUAGAGUGCUUGCCUUGUAUGCAUGAGGCCCUGGGUUCGAUUCCUCAGCCCCA
rnacentral:tRNA from 1 species